AGAGUUUGAUCCUGGCUCAGGACGAACGCUGGCGGCGUGGAUUAGGCAUGCAAGUCGAACGGUAGAUACUCCUUCGGGGGUAUUGAGAGUGGCGAACGGGUGAGUAACACGUAGAUGAUCUACCCUCAAAUGGGGGACAACCCAGGGAAACUUGGGCUAAUACCGCAUGAGUGCAGCGCAUAAAUUAUCUUUUGCUGGGUAAUUUAUGCGCUGUAUAAAAGAUGGCUUUCUGGCUGUCGUUUGGGGAUGAGUCUGCGUCCUAUUAGUUAGUUGGUGAGGUAAUGGCUCACCAAGGCGAUGAUAGGUAGGCGGCCUUAACGGGUGGCCGCCCACACUGGGAUUGAGAUACGGCCCAGACUCCUACGGGAGGCAGCAGUCGAGAAUAGUCUACAAUGGACGAAAGUCUGAUAGUGCGACGCCGCGUGAACGAAGAAUCCCUUCGGGGUGUAAAGUUCUUUUAUAUGUGAGCAAUGCUUUUUAUGUGAAUAGCAUGAGAAGAGAGAUAUUAGCAUAUGAAUAAGCAACGGCUAACUCCGUGCCAGCAGCCGCGGUAACACGGGGGUUGCAAGCGUUGUCCGGAAUUACUAGGCGUAAAGGGCAGGUAGGCGGAUCCAUAAGUUUGAUGUUAAAGGCAGCGGCUCACCCGCUGUACGGCGUCAGAUACUGUGGAUCUGGAAUGCGGUUGGGGAAGACAGAAUUCCUGGUGUAGCGGUGGAAUGCGCAGAGAUCAGGAGGAAUACCAAAGGCGAAGGCAGUCUUCUAAGCCGUUAUUGACGCUAAACUGCGAAGGUGUGGGUAUCAAACAGGAUUAGAUACCCUGGUAGUCCACACAGUAAACGAUAAUCACUAGGUGUCGGGUUCGUAGAGAAUUCGGUGCCGUAGCUAACGCGAUAAGUGAUUCGCCUGGGGAGUACGAUCGCAAGGUUGAAACUCAAAGGAAUUGACGGGGGCCCGCACAA
rnacentral:rRNA from 1 species